rnacentral:tRNA from 1 species
GGGCUCGUAGUCUAGUGGCUAUGACGUCUGCUUGACGUGCAGAAGGUCCCCGGUUCGAAUCCGGGCGGGCCCA